GUGUUUUCCUACAUCAUAUCAUUAAUGCAUUGAAUCUCAUUAGAAUUUUGCAGUUAAGCAUGCUCAAGCUAGAGUAGUACAGGCAUGGGUGACCACCCGGGAAGUCCUGGUGUUUUACAUG
rnacentral:rRNA from 1 species